rnacentral:lncRNA from 1 species
GCGGUCAGAAAGGCGACGGGCUGUCGGAGUUGGAAAGACAGAGUUUUGCUCUUAUUGCCCAGGCUGGAGUGCAAUGGCACGAUCUCAGCUCACUGCAACGUCUGCCUCCCAGGUUCAAGCGAUUCUCCUGCCUCAGCCUCCCGAGUAGCUGGGAUUACAGGGCCUACUGCAGUGCAUGAAGGUGGUAUGGACUCAGAACUCUGAAGUCUGAGGAGACAAAUACAUGCCCACCAUAACAACAUCACACAAUACCUAGAGUCAAAACAGUUAUCCCUAUUCCUACCCCCAACUGAGUUAUUCAAUAAAGCCUGCCUUGUUGA